rnacentral:rRNA from 1 species
CCUACGGGUGGCAGCAGUGGGGAAUAUUGCACAAUGGGGGAAACCCUGAUGCAGCGACGUCGCGUGAGUGAAGAAGUAUCUCGGUAUGUAAAGCUCUUUUAGCAGGGAAGAAAUAGCGACCUUUGGGUCGCCAGACGGUACCUGACUAAGAAGCCCAGGCUAACUACGUGCCAGCAGCCGCGGUAAUACGUAGGGGGCAAGCGUUAUCCGGAUUUACUGGGGGUAAAGGGAGCGUAGACGGCAGCACAAGUCUGAAGUGAAAUGCCGGGGCUUAACCCCGGAACUGCUUUGGAAACUGUGGAGCUAGAGUGCGGGAGAGGUAAGUGGAAUUCCUGGUGUAGCGGUGAAAUGCGUAGAUAUUAGGAGGAACGCCAGUGGCGAAGGCAGCUUACUGGACUGUAACUGACGUUGAGGCUCGAAAGCGUGGGGAGCAAACAGGAUUAGAUACCCUAGUAGUC